UACGUAGGGCCCAAGCGUUGUUCGGAUUUACUGGGCGUAAAGGGCGCGUAGGCGGCAAUUCAAGUCAGCCGUGAAAUCUCCGGGCUUAACUCGGAACGGUCAGCUGAUACUGCUUUGCUAGAGUGCAGAAGGGGCAAUCGGAAUUCUUGGUGUAGCGGUGAAAUGCGUAGAUAUCAAGAGGAACACCUGAGGUGAAGACGGGUUGCUGGGCUGACACUGACGCUGAGGCGCGAAAGCUAGGGUAGCAAACGGG
rnacentral:rRNA from 1 species